rnacentral:tRNA from 1 species
UAGAUUGAAGCCCGCUGGUUAGGGUUCUUAGUUGUUAACUAAAGGGCUUACGGGAUCAAGGCCCGUCGAUCUAG